UGGUGUUAGACGUGUAAAAAAAAAAUAUUUUAUACGAAGAGAAAAAAAAUAUUCGAAGAUUUAAUUGAAUAAUUUUUAAGGAUAUAAAAGGAUCACAUAUAAUAUCAACUUAUUUUAAAAUUUCGGACGACGAAAUUAAUUUUUCAACUAAUUUUUAUUUUCCUGUUGUUUGGAUCGCCGAUUCCUCUGUGAAUCGGCGCUGUCCACGAACAAAAGAAGAGGAAAACUCCAAACUCAAAUUAUCUGUAUUGGUCCCAAAUUUCCUUAGACAUCAAUCCCCUAAUUAUUAUAUAAUCGGUCCCAAAGACCAAUUGAUGCCUUUUAAAGGCGGAUAUAGAGAUUUUUGAUUGUACUAAUAUCAAGACCGGAGUCUUCUAAUCGAUGGUUUGAUUAGAGCUCAAAGAACCCAAAAUUGACCUAAAACCCUGACUUGUCAAAUCAAUACAUCAAAUGCUAGAGUCUUCCCGUCCAUAGUUUUAUUGGAGCCCAAUGGACACAGCAUUUCCCUAUUACCGAAUUGUGUCAAUUAAAGAAUUCUGGGGAUUCUCAUUUUUUUUUUCAAUUGGAGAUAAAACAAGAAUUGUUUAUAGUAUAUACAUUUAGAUUAAUUCCCCCAUUAUUACAUACAAGACAAUUAUUAAAUUUAUAUGUUACCUUGGUGCACGAGCAAAACAAAUUUGAAGCCUUAACUUUUAUAACCACCCAGAACUAUAGCAAUUUCAAAUCCCACGUCAGAAGGCGUAAGGACAUCAUGGAUAUUAGCUGGUGAGUUUUCAUAAUAUUAUUUAAUUUGUUAUGCUCAUGUCACAUUUUUAUAAUAACACAAAUUCACGACACUUAUCUUUACUACAUGCUAGGUUUAGUUUUUAUUUUUACGUAAACUAUAGUUCUUUCUUUCAAUAUGAUUCACUUUUAACUUAUUUAUAAACUUAGAUUACCUUUAAUACAAUCACUUUUUAUUGGACUAAUUUUUAUACCUUUAAUUGCCACAAAUCGAUUACUAUUAAUUUUUGAAUAUAUUAUAACGAUGUUUUAAA